rnacentral:sRNA from 1 species
UUUGAUGUUGUUAGAAAUGGAGGAUAAUCAUACAAUAGACGGAUCGGUUUCUCGAGUAAUUGUUUUUUUAUUAAACGGAUUAUACCAAAUUUAGACCGAUUUUCACCAAUAAUCAAAUCAAACAGAACCGAACCAAAUUACCUUCAUUAAUUGGAAAAAAAUCGAAUUUAGCCAAAAAUAACCAAGUUAACCGGAUUUUUUUAAAAUGAAUACAGAGAUUAUCGACAGUGGAAAAAGGAAAAGAACUCGAAAAGAAGACCAUAAACGCAGAACCAUAAGCAUACACAGACGAAUGUUAAGCGAUUAGUUUUAACACAUUUCAUAGGUCUUUUAAAUGUAUAUUAUCGAGUCUUUGAUAUCGAGAACAUAUAGUUUUCGAUAUCUUUUAGUGU